rnacentral:tRNA from 1 species
AAGCGUUAGAAAACGGUAGGAGGCAAUUCUCGCCCUUACAAGGCGAGGGUCACAGGUUCAAGUCCUGUUCCGCCUACCA